rnacentral:rRNA from 1 species
AGAUCGGGAGGAACACCAGUGGCGAAGGCGGCCUACUGGGCUUUAACUGACGCUGAGGCACGAAAGCAUGGGUAGCAAACAGGAUUAGAUACCCUGGUAGUCCAUGCUGUAAACGAUGAUUACUAGGUGUGGGGGGUCUGACCCCUUCCGUGCCGGAGUUAACACAAUAAGUAAUCCACCUGGGGAGUACGACCGCAAGGUUGAAACUCAAAGGAAUUGACGGGGGCCCGCACAAGCAGUGGAGUAUGUGGUUUAAUUCGAAGCAACGCGAAGAACCUUACCAGGUCUUGACAUCCAACUAACGAAGCAGAGAUGCGUUAGGUGCCCUUCGGGGAAAGUUGAGACAGGUGGUGCAUGGUUGUCGUCAGCUCGUGUCGUGAGAUGUUGGGUUAAGUCCCGCAACGAGCGCAACCCUUGUCAUUAGUUGCUACGCAAGAGCACUCUAAUGAGACUGCCGUUGACAAAACGGAGGAAGGUGGGGACGACGUCAAAUCAUCAUGCCCUUUAUGACCUGGGCUACACACGUACUACAAUGAUCGUUAACAGAGGGAAGCAAAGCCGCGAGGUGGAGCAAAACCCUAAAAACGGUCUCAGUUCGGAUUGUAGGCUGCAACCCGCCUACAUGAAGUUGGAAUUGCUAGUAAUCGCGGAUCAGAAUGCCGCGGUGAAUACGUUCCCGGGCCUUGUACACACCGCCCGUCACACCAUGGGAGCCGGUAAUACCCGAAGUCAGUAGUCUAACAGCAAUGAGGACGCUGCCGAAGGUAGGAUUGGCGACUGGGGUGAAGUCGUAANCAAGGUAACCCGAAAGGGCGAAUUCGUAACUCG